UACAGAGGUGGCAAGCGUUGUUCGGAAUUACUGGGCGUAAAGGGCGCGUAGGCGGCCUUCUAAGUCAGACGUGAAAUCCCCCGGCUUAACCUGGGAACUGCGUCUGAUACUGGGAGGCUUGAGUAUGGGAGAGGGAUGUAGAAUUCCAGGUGUAGCGGUGAAAUGCGUAGAGAUCGGGAGGAAGGCCGGUGGCGAAGGCGGCGCUCUGGAACAUUUCUGACGCUGAGGCUCGAAAGCGUGGGGAGCAAACAGG
rnacentral:rRNA from 1 species